rnacentral:tRNA from 1 species
GAAGGUGGCUCAGUGGUAGAGUGCUUGCCUUGCAUGCAUGAGGCCCUUAGGUUCGGUUCCUCAGCACCAUCU